UGGUGUUUGAGAUUGGGAAAGUUAAGCCUCGCGAACUCUCCUUUGAGCUUGUAAGCAGCCCUAUCCUAGGCCAAAGCAGCCUCCUCAGCGGUGUCAAAAGUGCCGAGCCAAAGCCGAGUACGAUUCUUUGGUAGACGGAUCUCUGCAACCCAUUUCCCCAAUGCCGCUGUCUCACCCCUCUGUAGAGCUUCGUGGGUUUUGCAAAUGAACCCACUUGCUUCAUCGAGAUUGCUUUCGGACCUAGAAAAUUCAAGAAAUGUGGUUGUUGUUGCUGCAACUGAGACUGCCUGAGCCUCUAGUUUUGGAUGGAAGCUGCAGCCAUGGUAGCCAUGUGUUGCUGUUGAUAUUGGAACUGGAUCUGGACUUGAAUCUGCUGAACCUGAGAAGGGCCGAGUCGAUUUAGACCUAUUGAUGAACCUGAUUGCUCGAGACCAAAUUGGCCUUGGAUUGAGAACCCUGGAGAAAACAUUUGGGUAGUCGACGUCGAGCAAGAAUCAGGGUAAAACUGGGGUUGAGAAGAGAAAGAGCAGAAGGGGUAAGAAGAGGAAGGAGAAGGAGAUGAAGAGGGAGAAGUUGAAGCACUUCUGAUAUAAGGCUCCAGUGCUUUCAUGAGCUCCUCUCUGAAGGGAUCUGAUGAUACAGGUCCAUUACUGUAGAUAUCUAUAGCUGCUGGCAUGACUUCUGAAUAAAGCAAAGAAGA